CAACUGUUAGGAGGCUUGGCUGC
rnacentral:miRNA from 1 species